rnacentral:rRNA from 1 species
AUUGAACGCUGGCGGCAUGCCUUACACAUGCAAGUCGAACGGUAACAGGUCUUCGGAUGCUGACGAGUGGCGAACGGGUGAGUAAUACAUCGGAACGUGCCUAGUAGUGGGGGAUAACUACUCGAAAGAGUGGCUAAUACCGCAUGAGAUCUACGGAUGAAAGCAGGGGAUCGCAAGACCUUGUGCUACUAGAGCGGCCGAUGGCAGAUUAGGUAGUUGGUGGGAUAAAAGCUUACCAAGCCGACGAUCUGUAGAUGGUCUGAGAGGAACGAUCAGCCACACUGGGACUGAGACACGGCCCAGACUCCUACGGGAGGCAGCAGUGGGGAAUUUUGGACAAUGGGCGAAAGCCUGAUCCAGCAAUGCCGCGUGCAGGAUGAAGGCCUUCGGGUUGUAAACUGCUUUUGUGCGGAACGAAAAGCCCCGGGUUAAUACCCUGGGGUCAUGACGGUACCGUAAGAAUAAGCACCGGCUAACUUCGUGCCAGCAGCCGCGGUAA